AUGAUUUAAUUAAAAUUCACGAGUCGAAUGUAAUAUGCGCAUUUGAAAGGGUUGGUUUCAGUUGAGUGGGCUGGGAUAAUAUUCUGCAUUGCUAAAUUAGGAACGAGAUGGUCGCUUUUCCUUGAGAAAGGUUAGAUCAAGGUUAAGAUUUUGAGGGGGAGGUGAAAGUAGUAUUUGAUGAAAUACGUGUUUUGAAAGCGUAAACAUCCUGUAAGCGCACAAGGCGAGACUUGUGAAACUUUCACUUGAUCAUUACAUUUCGAAGCGGUGAGGUUGGUGCUAUCAUCCUCCAUAAGGAUUACAAUGGAAGCUCGUAAUGAACGCAAACGUAGAUGUGUUGACACGUUGGGGGAUGUGCAGCCGUCGGAAGAUCUUAUUUUAAACCUUGCUCCCGAGGAAGGCGAAACCUCCCGCAAAAAACUCAAAAAAAUUAAAAUAUACAUUGGAAAAAAUGUUUCAAUAGAAACUUGUGACUUCAAAAAUGUCAAUUAUGUUUCAUUUGUAAGGGUGUAUCCCGAAACCGCCGCCACCCCCAAAAGAUUUAAUAUAAAUAUGAAUUGUAUUGAUCGUAUAAUCGAAGCUUUGGGGGUGAUUAAGAGUCACUGUAUGUAAAAU
rnacentral:lncRNA from 1 species